rnacentral:rRNA from 1 species
CAGUAGCCGCGGUAAUACGUAGGUGGCAAGCGUUGUCCGGAAUUAUUGGGCGUAAAGGGCUCGCAGGCGGUUUCUUAAGUCUGAUGUGAAAGCCCCCGGCUCAACCGGGGAGGGUCAUUGGAAACUGGGAAACUUGAGCGCAGAAGAGGAGAGAGGAAUUCCACGUGUAGCGGUGAAAUGCGUAGAGAUGUGGAGGAACACCAGUGGCGAAGGCGACUCUCUGGUCUGUAACUGACGCUGAGGAGCGAAAGCGUGGGGAGCGAACAGGAUUAGAGACCCCAGUAGUCCCUGUCUCUUAUAC